UCCGGGUUACGGCGCUGGCGUCCGUGGCCGCGCUUUGGACGCGGAGCCCGCAGGUUCGAUUCCUGCACCCGGAGC
rnacentral:tRNA from 1 species